AUGAAGCAUGAAAACAGAGAAGAUCAGAACUCCCCUUGAUAAAAAUGGAAGAGGUCCCUGCAAUCAGCGCAAUGACACAUAUGGCUAGGACACCAAAGGAGGAAAAUCUAACAUUUUUU